UGGUGCGGGAUGGGGAUGGCUAACGGUCUCUGGAACCGUAAGCCGAGGUUCAAAUCCUCGUCCCCCAG
rnacentral:tRNA from 1 species